ensembl:lncRNA
GGCGGGUGGGUCUGACCUUGGAGACAAAGAGGUAGUUGUACACAGGGGAGCACUCCAACUCCACUCAAGACCGCAGGCUUCUCUAUUCCUCAUGAGAGCAGCCAGGUCGUUAGCCUCUCGGAACCACGUGGAUUGAGAUAACAGGCAUCUCUGGGAAAGCAAGUAUGAACCGAAGACUAAGAGCCCCAGAAAUAUUUUGCCCCAGGACCUUUGCGUAACCCUCAGGUAGGGGAUAAGGAAGAUCGGUAAUGUCUGAGGUUGAACUUCAAGCCAGAUAGGGACUUGAAAUCAGACUUCAGGAAAUAAAAAAUAUGAAAUUUCUUUUACACAUUAUUUCAUAAUUGCAAAUUCAUACACACUAUACUAUGAACUCUUUAUUGACAAAUUCAGACUUAAAUUGAAGAAAGUAGGGAAAACCGCUAGACCAUUCAGGUAUUACCUAAAUCAAAUCCCUUAGGAUUAUACAGUGGAAGUGACAAAUAGAUUCAAGGGACUAGAUCCUGAUAGACAGAGUUCCUGAAGAACUAUGGACUGAGGUUCGUGACAUUGUACAGAAGGUGGUGAUCAAGAUCAUCCCCAAGAAAAAGAAAUGAAAAAAGGCAAAAUGGUUGUCUUAGGAGGACUUACAAAUAGCUGUGAAAAGAAGAGAAGUGAAAGGCAAAGGAGAAAAGGAAAGAUAAAUGCAUUUGAAUGCAGAGUUCCAAAGAACAGCAAGGAGAGAUAAGAAAGCCUUCCUCAGUGAUCAGUGCAAAGAAAUAGAGGAAAACAAUAGAAUGGGAAAGACUAGAGAUCUCUUCAAGAAAAUUACAGAUUUCAAGGGAACAUUUCAUGCAAAGAUGGGCAAGAUAAAGGACAGAAAUUGUAUGGACCUAACAGAAGCAGAAGAUAUUAAGAAGAGGUGGCAAGAACACACAGAGGAACUAUACAAAAAAGAUUUUCACGACCCAGAUAAUCACAAUAGUGAUGACUAUGAUGGUGAUUACUCUAGGUGAUCACUCACCUAGAGCCAGACAAUCUGGAAUGUGGAGUAAAGUGGCCC